GAUUAAGAACGUAGCGAAAUGCGAUAAGUAGUGUGAAUUGCAGAAUUCAGUGAAUCAUCGAAUCUUUGAACGCACAUUGCGCCCCUUGGUAUCCCGAGGGGCAUGCCUGUUCGAGCGUCAUUUCACCACUCAAGCCUGGCUUGGUGUUGGGCGACGUCCCCUUUGGGGACGCGCCUCGAAACGCUCGGCGGCGUGGCACCGGCUUUAAGCGUAGCAGAAUCUUUCGCUUUGGAAGUCGGGGCCCCGUCUGCCGGAAGACCUACUCGCAAGGUUGACCUCGGAUCAGGCAGGGAUACCCGCUGAACUUAAGCAUAUCAAUAAGCGGAGGA
rnacentral:misc_RNA from 1 species